AGAGUUUGAUCAUGGCUCAGGACGAACGCUGGCGGCGUUAACACAUGCAAGUGGAGCGACGAACCGGACCUCGGUCCGGGGCAAAGCCGCGAACGGGUGAGUAACACGUGGGUAACCUGCCCCAAUGAUUGGGACAACCUCGGGAAACCGAGGCUAAUACCAAAUGUGCUCGCACUCCUCGAGGAGUGUGAGGAAAGGAAGCUUCGGCCUCCGCAUUGGGAUGGGCCCGCGGCGCAUUAGCUUGUUGGUGAGGUAAUGGCUUACCGAGGCUUCGAUGCGUAGCUGGUCUGAGAGGACGAUCAGCCACACUGGGACUGAGACACGGCCCAGACUCCUACGGGAGGCAGCAGUGGGGAAUCUUGCGCAAUGCGCGAAAGCGUGACGCAGCAACGCCGCGUGCGGGAAGACGGCCUUCGGGUUGUAAACCGCUUUCAGUUGGGACGAAGCUUCGCCGGUGAAUAGCCGGCCGGAGUGACGGUACCUUCAGAAGAAGCCCCGGCUAACUACGUGCCAGCAGCCGCGGUAAUACGUAGGGGGCUAGCGUUGUCCGGAAUCAUUGGGCGUAAAGCGCGUGUAGGCGGCCCGAUAAGUCCGCUGUGAAAGUCCAGGGCUCAACCCUGGGAUGCCGGUGGAUACUGUCGGGCUCGAGUCCGGAAGAGGCGAGUGGAAUUCCUGGUGUAGCGGUGAAAUGCGCAGAUAUCAGGAGGAACACCAAUGGCGAAGGCAGCUCGCUGGGACGUGACUGACGCUGAGACGCGAAAGCGUGGGGAGCAAACAGGAUUAGAUACCCUAGUAGUCC
rnacentral:rRNA from 1 species